rnacentral:lncRNA from 1 species
CGUGGACCGGGCGGUCCACGACUGGGCCUAUGGACCACGUGGGCAUUUCCCACGCGUUUCUCGUGGUCCACGGCACUAUUCCAUGAACCGAAGCGCGAUCUGAGGGCGUGGGUGGCUCCCGAUUUUGAUCCGACGGUCCAAAGGUUAUCUGACUUUGUUUAGGACUCCUAAUCCUUCUCUAAUCAAGUUUUUAACCCUUUAAAAGGGCCUGUACGUGAAACAGAGGGGGUGUGGUUCGGAUUCUUGCACCGUACGAAGCCCGUAUGAAUUCGAUUGAAGAGAGAGAGGUGGAAGUGCUUAGAGAGAAGGAGCAGGAAGCUCCUGGACAGCGAUCGCCAGGCACUUCAGGGGUUCAGGGGGGUCUCCUAAGAGAGAGAGAGCUUUUGUGAGGGGAACUUCUAGUGAGAGAGAAUUAGGUGUACAAGGGUUGAGGGUGAGGUCUCCUUUUGUAAAAUUUUCUUUUUCAUAGUGAAGUUUGCAUGCCCCGUGGAGGCGAGCCCUUUUGUGGCUGAUCCACGUAUUUUGAUUAUUUUUUUCUUUUGUUUUGUUUCUUCUUUCUUCCUGCUGCAUCGCGUGGUACUGAAAGGAUCUUGGAAGGUGGUGUCCUGGCCAGACAUCCACCC